GCAUCCGUAGCUCAGCUGGAUAGAGUACUCGGCUGAACCGAGCGGUCGGAGGUUCGAAUCCUCCCGGAUGCACCA
rnacentral:tRNA from 1 species